CCUACGGGAGGCAGCAGUGGGGAAUAUUGGACAAUGGGCGCAAGCCUGACCCAGCAACGCCGCGUGAAGGAAGAAGGCUUUCGGGUUGUAAACUUCUUUUCUGAGGGACGAAGAAAGUGACGGUACCUCAGGAAUACGCCUCGGCUAACUACGUGCCAGCGGCCGCGGUAAUCCGUAGGUGGCAAGCGUUAUCCGGAUUUAUUGGGUGUAAAGGGCGUGUAGGCGGGAAAGCAAGUCAGGUGUGAAAACUCAGGGCUCAAACCUGAGCUUGCCUUUGAAACGGUGUUGCUUGAGUGCUGGAGAGGCAAUGGGAAGUCCGGGGGGAGGGGUGAAAUGCGUAGAUAUACGGAGGAACACCAGUGGCGAAGGCGGAUUGCGGGACAGUAACGGACGCUGAGGCGCGAAAGCGUGGGGAGCAAACAGGAUAGAUACCCCUGUAGUC
rnacentral:rRNA from 1 species